rnacentral:rRNA from 1 species
GACGUAGGGCGCGAGCGUUGUCCGGAUUUAUUGGGCGUAAAGAGCUCGUAGGCGGCUUGUCGCGUCGUCCGUGAAAACUUGGGGCUCAACCCCAAGCUUGCGGUCGAUACGGGCAGGCUAGAGUUCGGUAGGGGAGACUGGAAUUCCUGGUGUAGCGGUGAAAUGCGCAGAUAUCAGGAGGAACACCGGUGGCGAAGGCGGGUCUCUGGGCCGAUACUGACGCUGAGAAGCGAAAGCAUGGGGAGCGAACAGG